GGUGGUGAUGACUGUGUGGUGAUGGUGAUGACUGUGGUGCUAACUCGUUCAUCACCCUUAUUAAAAACCUCAUUCCUUCACCUCCAUGGCUUGCGAAUUUGGUGUUGAUGUGGUGGUGAUUGUGUGGUGAUGGCGCAGUUGUGGUGUCUGUGGUGGUGAUGAUUCUGAAGUGGUGAUGAAUCUAACAAGCUUCACUAACUCAACACCGGCCUUCCUCAGUGGUGAUAGUGGUGGUGGUGGUGGUGGUGACACAUAAGAGUGGUGAUGAAACUACUGUCAUCACCAACCCCCUCUCACUCCCCCCCCCCAGCACGUGACCCCCACCAGCCCCAGGUCAGGUCAAAGACAGAGACUUGACCUGUUUAUCAUGUGGUCACGUAGAGGAGG